rnacentral:rRNA from 1 species
AGCGAACGUUAGCGGCGGGCCUAACACAUGCAAGUCGAACGCGAAAGGGCUUCGGCCCCGGUAGCGUAGGCGUCCGGGUGAGUAACACGUGGGGAACCUACCCCAGAGUGGGGGAUAACGUUCCGAAAGGAACGCUAAUACCGCAUAACGACCCGUGGUCACUCCGGUGGCUGGGGUGAAAGGUGGCCUCUGUUUACAAGCUAUCGGCUCCGGGAUGGCCCCGCGGCCCAUCAGUUAGUUGGUAGGGUAACGGCCUACCAAGGCGAAGACGGGUAGCUGGUCUGAGAGGACGAUCAGCCACACUGGCACUGAAACACGGGCCAGACUCCUACGGGAGCAGC